CGCAAGGACACUCGUAGAGGUGCUGCAUGGCUGUCGUCAGCUCGUGUCGUGAGAUGUUGGGUUAAGUCCCGCAACGAGCGCAACCCUUGUCUGCUGUUGCCAUCAGGUUAAGCUGGGCACUCUGCAGAGACUGCCGGUGAUAAACCGGAGGAAGGUGGGGAUGACGUCAAGUCAGCAUGGCCUUUAUGUCUGGGGCUACACACGUGCUACAAUGGCCGGUACAAACCGUCGCAAAACCGUAAGGUGGAGCUAAUCGGAUAAAGCCGGUCUCAGUUCGGAUAGCAGGCUGCAACUCGCCUGCUUGAAGUUGGAAUCGCUAGUAAUCGCGGAUCAGCACGCCGCGGUGAAUACGUUCCCGGGCCUUGUACACACCGCCCGUCACAUCACGAAAGCCGGUUGUACUAGAAGUCGCUACAUCAACCCGCAAGGGAGAGAGGCGCCUAAGGUAUGGUCGGUGAUUGGGGUGAAG
rnacentral:rRNA from 1 species